rnacentral:tRNA from 1 species
UUAGUAAAUAGCUUAAAUAGAAAGUGUAUUUUUUACAUUAAUAAGAUAUCAAAAAUUGAUUUUACUUA